rfam:Gossypium raimondii Chr06_contig_55, whole genome shotgun sequence.
UGUUAAAAAUUCCAAUCAUUUUUACUGUUUAAAACUGUUGUGAAUGACAGAAUAACAAAAGAAUUACACAUGGCAUGUCUCGUGUACCUCAUAUGGCCUACAGUGGCUAGUUUUCAAUAGUUGAAUUGGAUGAACUUUUUAAUA